AAUUAAGAGGGGGGCAGGGCCCACAUUCAUUCUGGCCCCCCCCCCCCCCCCGCCCACACGCACCCGUAUUCUACUCCCUCCCCUUCCGAUCCUCGAGACCUUGGAAACGUGUGGCGUAGGACAUGCCUGGCCUCGGCAUGAGGGCCCGGAUCUGCUGCACCGUCCGCGGCGGCGCGAGGCCCGGGAGAGCUCUGCGCAGCCACCUCAAGCCCAUCCUGCUCCGGAUCAUCCGGAGGGUCGUGCAGCGGAAGACACUGCCCCACUCCAUGCUCCUGGUCCUGAAGAAGAGGGCCCCUCCCUCGGAAAGCGGGAAGCGUGGCUAGGAGCGCAGCCUUGGGGUCUGGAUGGCGCCCACCUGCCUUCACGUCGAGAAAAGGACGAGAUGGAAAGCCAUUUGGAGGCGCCUUCUAAGGUCUGCUGGGAGGGAAACAAGCCAAGGCUCCCCGGGAUGCGGGAUUUCUUCAGAUCCAGAAGACGGCUGUCGUUCGCCUUGAGAAAAACUCGGAGGACGUUUCUUCUGCAGUUCUCUAAAUAAACGGUUUUUGGCCCCCUCUGAGUCGUGUGGAGACCCUUUCUUCCCUUGCU
rnacentral:lncRNA from 11 species